UACGUAGGGGGCAAGCGUUGUCCGGAUUUAUUGGGCGUAAAGAGCGUGUAGGCGGCUAGGUAGGUCCGUUGUGAAAACUCGAGGCUCAACCUCGAGCUGUCGAUGGAAACCAUCUGGCUAGAGUCCGGAAGAGGAGAGUGGAAUUCCUGGUGUAGCGGUGAAAUGCGCAGAUAUCAGGAAGAACACCCGUGGCGAAAGCGGCUCUCUGGAACGGUACUGACGCUGAGACGCGAAAGCGUGGGGAGCGAACAGG
rnacentral:rRNA from 1 species